rnacentral:rRNA from 1 species
UACGUAGGGUGCAAGCGUUGUCCGGAAUUAUUGGGCGUAAAGAGCUCGUAGGCGGUCUGUCGCGUCGGCUGUGAAAACCCGGGGCUCAACCCCGGGCCUGCAGUCGAUACGGGCAGACUAGAGUGUGGUAGGGGAGACUGGAAUUCCUGGUGUAGCGGUGAAAUGCGCAGAUAUCGGGAGGAACACCGGUGGCGAAGGCGGUUCUCUGGGCCUUACCUGACGCUGAGGAGCGAAAGCGUGGGGAGCGAACAGG